rnacentral:lncRNA from 1 species
UCAAACAACCGACUGCCAACUGUCAAACGACCGACUAUCAAAUAUAUAAUCACGAUACUACAAUCAUGGAAAAUAACUACAUGCUACGAUCGUUAGUGGAUAUAAAUUAACUUCAUGAUUAUGAUCCGAUAAUCGGGGUAACUACCCCUUAGUGCUAUAAAAAAUAAAACCACAUGCUCGACGAUUACACUUGAAUUACCUAUAAAGAGGAA